UCCUCGUUUAAGCGAGGCAGUCUGUCCAGAGUGCUCCCCACUUUCAUGGGGGUGGCAACAGGACACAAGGGUUGCGCUCGUUGCGGGACUUAACCCAACAUCUCACGACACGAGCUGACGACAGCCAUGCAGCACCUGUGUACGCUGGUAUUGCUACCUCGUCAGGCUUUCACCCUUCUACUACGUACAUGUCAAGGCCAGGUAAGGUUCUUCGCGUUGCAUCGAAUUGAGCCACAUACUCCACCGCUUGUGCAGGCCCCCGUCAAUUUCUUUGAGUUUUAAUCUUGCGACCGUACUUCCCAGGCGGCACGUUUAACGCGUUAGCUUCGCCACAAAAGGGGUCGAUUCCUUUUACAGCAAACGUGCACCGUUUACGGCUAGGACUAC
rnacentral:misc_RNA from 1 species